rnacentral:rRNA from 1 species
CCUACGGGUGGCUGCAGUGGGGAAUAUUGGACAAUGGGGGUAACCCUGAUCCAGCCAUGCCGCGUGUGUGAAGAAGGCCCUCGGGUUGUAAAGCACUUUCAGUGAGGAAGAACGCCUGGUGGUUAAUACCCAUCAGGAAAGACAUCACUCACAGAAGAAGCACCGGCUAACUCCGUGCCAGCAGCCGCGGUAAUACGGAGGGUGCGAGCGUUAAUCGGAAUUACUGGGCGUAAAGCGCGCGUAGGUGGCUUGAUAAGCCGGUUGUGAAAGCCCCGGGCUCAACCUGGGAACGGCAUCCGGAACUGUCAAGCUAGAGUGCAGGAGAGGAAGGUAGAAUUCCCGGUGUAGCGGUGAAAUGCGUAGAGAUCGGGAGGAAUACCAGUGGCGAAGGCGGCCUUCUGGACUGACACUGACACUGAGGUGCGAAAGCGUGGGUAGCAAACAGGAUUAGAUACCCCAGUAGUC